CCUAAUCAUUUUUGUAUAUUCAUUGUUAAUGUUACGGUAAUUUUGAACUAGAAAGUAACAAAUAAUCUAUUUUUAUAAUUUCUUGUUUUUAAAAGUAAUUUGAAAGUAAUCGGCGAUGACGUCUGGGUACUAGUGAAUAAGAUGCCAGUGUUUGUGUUCUCAGCUUUUAGCGUCAACGACUACAACUUCUUCAUACACAAGUUAAAUGUAUUCGACCUUUUACGGGAUACGCCGUGCGGAAAGCCGUUAAUGUAAUUAUCUGAACGCUGUGAAUUAAUUUGGACAUUUUUAAGGACAUUUGAUAACAGUAUAUAGGCAAGCGAUGUCGAAAAACAGAUAAAUAAUUUAACAGUUCAACUUUUUUGUCCAGAAAUCGAAGAUUUAAUGUAUAAGUUACGUGUUUUGUAAAAUGGUGAGAACAAUAGAGU
rnacentral:misc_RNA from 1 species